rnacentral:misc_RNA from 1 species
AAAGAGCAGGAGGCACUAGAGGAGCUAGAUCCAGCCAUAUCCCAAGCAAAAUGGCGCAAGAAAAUGAUUUCAAUCUUGCCUAAGUUUUUUGACAUGAUUUACUUCUUAUUUCACUCAAUUAACCGAUCUGUGAUCACUAAAGAAGAGCUUACACACAAAGUGAUUUCAAGCCAUCUAGCUAUUGCUGAUAAAAGAGAAUUUGAAGAGCUACUACGGUUAUUGCAAGAAAUAGCUCCUGAAUGGAUCCAUGAAAAGCUGUCAUCUAGUGGGGA